AUGACGGCCGGCGUGGGCGACGCGUUCCGCGAGCAGAUCGGCAGCGAUCUGGGGCUCACCAUCCUCUGCCCUGACGACGAGGCGGUGGGGGCGUUCAUGCCGAGGUUCCAUAACCUCACCGCCGACGAGCAGGUCGCGCUUCUCCUGUACCACGGCCUGACGAUGGCUUACUCUGAGGAGCUGCUCAGCUGGGUGACCCGGGUCCACGGGGAGUUCUCGACGCUUGAUGGGGAGGAUAUGCUCACCAUCCGUCACCACAGAGGCAGGCUGAUGCUUUCUUCGUGGCCGCCGUCGUCACGUAACAAGACCAGGAUCACCAAGACGGUCGUCGACGACGACCAUCUCGCCGUCUACCUCAUAGACGCCGUGCUGAUUCCGGCAGAUCCCAAGCGUCAAAGAGUUGUGGCACUUAUCGUCAUUAUUCUGGUACUUGUUGCCGGCGUGCUCGUGGCGUUGUGA
rnacentral:rRNA from 1 species